UACGUAGGGUGCAAGCGUUGUCCGGAAUUAUUGGGCGUAAAGAGCUCGUAGGCGGUUUGUCACGUCGGAUGUGAAAACCCGGGGCUUAACCCCGGGCCUGCAUUCGAUACGGGCAGGCUAGAGUUCGGUAGGGGAGAUCGGAAUUCCUGGUGUAGCGGUGAAAUGCGCAGAUAUCAGGAGGAACACCGGUGGCGAAGGCGGAUCUCUGGGCCAUUACUGACGCUGAGGAGCGAAAGCGUGGGGAGCGAACAGG
rnacentral:rRNA from 1 species